AACGAACGCUGGCGGCGUGUUUAAGACAUGCAAGUCGCACGGUGUCAUUUUGGUAGCAAUACUUGGAUGGCACAGUGGCGCACGGGUGAGUAACACGUGAAUUACAUGCCCUGUAGAGGGGGAUAGCCCAGGGAAACUUGGAUUAAUACCCCAUGGUCUCGCAAGAGUAAAGGUGGCCGCAAGGCUGUCGCUACAGGAUUGGUUCGCGCCCUAUCAGCUUGUUGGCGGGGUAACGGCCCACCAAGGCUACGACGGGUACCUGGUCUGAGAGGACGAUCAGGCACACUGGAACUGAGACACGGUCCAGACACCUACGGGUGGCAGCAGUCGAGAAUAAUUCACAAUGGGGGCAACCCUGAUGGUGCAACGCCGCGUGGAGGAUGACGGUCUUCGGAUUGUAAACUCCUGUCAUCCGGGAGUAAGACCUGGGCAUGAAUAGUGCACAGGGUUGAUAGUACCGGAAGAGGAAGGGACGGCUAACUUCGUGCCAGCAGCCGAGUAACAC
rnacentral:rRNA from 1 species